rnacentral:rRNA from 1 species
AAGUUUAAGGUGGUAGGCUGAAAUCUUAGGUAAAUCCGGGGUUUCAAGGCCGAGAGCUGAUGACGAGUCGUCUUUUAGAUGACGAAGUGGUUGAUGCCAUGCUUCCAAGAAAAGCUUCUAAGCUUCAGGUAACCAGGAACCGUACCCCAAACCGACACAGGUGGUCGGGUAGAGAAUACCAAGGCGCUUGAGAGAACUCGGGUGAAGGAACUAGGCAAAAUGGCACCGUAACUUCGGGAGAAGGUGCGCCGGCUAGGGUGAAGGAUUUACUCCGUAAGCUCUGGCUGGUCGAAGAUACCAGGCCGCUGCGACUGUUUAUUAAAAACACAGCACUCUGCAAACACGAAAGUGGACGUAUAGGGUGUGACGCCUGCCCGGUGCCGGAAGGUUAAUUGAUGGGGUUAGCGCAAGCGAAGCUCUUGAUCGAAGCCCCGGUAAACGGCGGCCGUAACAAUAACGGUCCUAAGGUAGCGAAAUUCCUUGUCGGGUAAGUUCCGACCUGCACGAAUGGCGUAACGAUGGCGGCGCUGUCUCCACCCGAGACUCAGUGAAAUUGAAAUCGCUGUGAAGAUGCAGUGUAUCCGCGGCUAGACGGAAAGACCCCGUGAACCUUUACUGUAGCUUUGCACUGGACUUUGAGCCUGCUUGUGUAGGAUAGGUGGGAGGCUUUGAAGCGUGGACGCCAGUUCGCGUGGAGCCAUCCUUGAAAUACCACCCUGGCAUGCUUGAGGUUCUAACUCUGGUCCGUAAUCCGGAUCGAGGACAGUGUAUGGUGGGCAGUUUGACUGGGGCGGUCUCCUCCUAAAGAGUAACGGAGGAGUACGAAGGUGCGCUCAGACCGGUCGGAAAUCGGUCGCAGAGUAUAAAGGCAAAAGCGCGCUUGACUGCGAGACAGACACGUCGAGCAGGUACGAAAGUAGGUCUUAGUGAUCCGGUGGUUCUGUAUGGAAGGGCCAUCGCUCAACGGAUAAAAGGUACUCCGCGGAUAACAGGCUGAUACCGCCCAAGAGUUCAUAUCGACGGCGGUGUUUGGCACCUCGAUAUCGGCUCAUCACAUCCUGGGGCUGAAGCCGGUCCCAAGGGUAUGGCUGUUCGCCAUUUAAAGUGGUACGCGAGCUGGGUUUAGAACGUCGUGAGACAGUUCGGUCCCUAUCUGCCGUGGACGUUUGAGAUUUGAGAGGGGCUGCUCCUAGUACGAGAGGACCGGAGUGGACGAACCUCUGGUGUUCCGGUUGUCACGCCAGUGGCAUUGCCGGGUAGCUAUGUUCGGAAAAGAUAACCGCUGAAAGCAUCUAAGCGGGAAACUUGCCUCAAGAUGAGAUCUCACUGGGAACUUGAUUCCCCUGAAGGGCCGUCGAAGACUACGACGUUGAUAGGCUGGGUGUGUAAGCGUUGUGAGGCGUUGAGCUAACCAGUACUAAUUGCCCGUGAGGCUUGACC